GACAUCUCCAUCUUGCUUUAUUAGGGAUGUGACAAAUCUUUGAUUUGUAUUCGAUUCGUACACGGAUAGUGCCAUUUCAACCCCCCAAUUUUGCAAUUCGGUUGAUUAUCCCCCCAAUAAAAUUUUGGAUUUUCAUAAUUGUUCUUUCUUGGUAAAGUGGCAUUUAUUGUGACCGUUAACAAGUGCUGCGGCACAUCUACACAUGUCAUGCCAUGUGGGAGGCACAUCACUGAGGGCUGUGAUGGACAAUCAGGGUCCAAGUGCAAUAAAUCACCAAGGACUAGAUGAGAGGCCUCUGGACUUUGUGAGGGAAAGAAGAAAUAUAUAUAUAUAUAUGGAAAAAGAAGCCAGAGAAGAGUGUGGAAAUUUUCUUUUAAAACUGCGUGUAAUACAAAUCCAGCCAAAACAAUAGUGCAAAAAGUUACAAAGCAACAAUCUCUUGGGCUAAUGCGGUAGGCUAUACAGAGACAGCCACGAUGAACUGUGCAGAUCAGGCACGGUGAAUACCAAGGAACCAAGGAGACGGUAAGAUCUCCACCCACGGUCUGUUUUAGACUUCCCCCAAACUUUCCGAACAGACAUCUAGCUCAGCCCAGCAAGCUAUGGCGGAAGUGUGCAGUCCAGAAGAGACCGUGGAGAAACAAGUCUCCUAAGGCCAUGUAGAUCCGCAACAGGCUGAAUGGGAGCGCUUGGUGUUUAGCGGCCACGUUCUGUGGAGGAGGAUGUGGGCCUCUCGAGACUGCUCUGGUUACUGGAACCUUCUUAGCACACCCCUUCCUACAAGUUUGCACUGAGAGCUGCCUGACAGCUACGAAUGAGGGUGCCUGCCCAUGUUAGUGCUGAUUAGAAAACACAAGUACACACAUCUACUCUUUCACUGCUGGUGUGUGGGACCAGAACACCACCACAAAGUACUUCCUUGGCCUAAGAGAUCACUGAAUUAACAAGGAGCUUUAACAGAAGAACAGGAGUGCUGUACUGAGAGGCUUGCGAAGGGAAACACGGGUCCCGCCAAUUCCGAUGAGUUUCUGAAAAUGCUAGAAAAAUGACAGACCGCUGAAGGCGGCUGUCCUGUUGUUCUCCAUGAUAACGGCACUAAUGUUAAAAAAACAAUAAGAGCUUUUAAUGAUUGCAAUGUAUACAGUUUGGGCCAUUUGGCAAAACCCUGCAGAUGUGUAUUAAUGAUGCUUUAUUUAAAAACAAAAACCAAAACAGUCCAUGUUGGAAUCGAUCAGGGUAAGUUAAAUGGUGGUUUUUUAGGCUGGACCCAUGAUUUAAGCUGUACCCAUCCAGCUCGGACAAAAAAAAAAAAAAAAAA
rnacentral:lncRNA from 1 species